GACAGAGGAUGCAAACGUUGCUCGGAAUUACUGGGCGUAAAGCGCGCGCAGGCGGUUCGGUAAGUCAGGUGUGAAAUCCCGGGGCUCAACCUCGGAAGGGCACAUGAUACUGCCAAACUUGAGUACUGGAGAGGAGAGUGGAAUUCCCGGUGUAGAGGUGAAAUUCGUAGAUAUCGGGAGGAACACCAGUGGCGAAGGCGACUCUCUGGACAGAUACUGACGCUGAGGCGCGAAAGCGUGGGAAGCAAACAGG
rnacentral:rRNA from 1 species